GUGCAAUGCAAGUUACUCUAUAAUUUUCAUUUAGAAGUUAAAUUCUCGAGGGCUUGAAGUUGAAAAUGAAGAUGAAUUUUGCUCAUUCCUUUGUGUUUCUGCUUCUCUUGGCAUCCUUUUUAGAUAUUGGGCUGAGCUAUCAAAGGCUAAAGAUGGUGGAUAAGUUUGACCCUCCAAGCGGAAUUUGCAUUGAUCUAUUUGACAUAGAUAUGAGCAAAGUUGGGUAUUGCACUAAAGAUUAUUGUGUUGGACUUUGCGCAUCAAAGAAAUACAAAAAAUUGCUUACACAAAGAUGUACAAAUUUUUCGACUUGUGAGUGCACUCACAUUUGCUAAUUUAAAUGUAAGAUUAUUGUCUUUCAAUGAAUAAUAAAUAAAGCUGGCUUGGGAAUAAUUAUUGGCA